AUUGAACGCUGGCGGCAGGCCUAACACAUGCAAGUCGAACGAGUGGCGGACGGGUGAGUAAUGUCUGGGAAACUGCCCGAUGGAGGGGGGUAACUACUGGAAACGGUAGCUAAUACCGCAUACCAUCGGAUGUGCCCAUAUGGGAUUAGCUAGUAGGUGGGGUAACGGCUCACCUAGGCGACGAUCCCUAGCUGGUCUGAGAGGAUGAGCAGCCACACUGGAACUGAGACACGGUCCAGACUCCUACGGGAGGCAGCAGUGGGGAAUAUUGCACAAUGGGCGCAAGCCUGAUGCAGCCAUGCCGCGUGUAUGAAGAAGGCCUUCGGGUUGUAAAGUACUUUCAGCGGGGAGGCGUUACCCGCAGAAGAAGCACCGGCUAACUCCGUGCCAGCAGCCGCGGUAAUUC
rnacentral:rRNA from 1 species